rnacentral:rRNA from 1 species
AACGAACGCUGGCGGCGCGCCUAAUACAUGUAAGUCGAGCGAGAAGGUGUAGCAAUACACUUGUAAAGCGGCGAACGGGUGAGGAAUACAUGGGUAAUCUACCAUCGAGUGGGGAAUAACCAACCGAAAGGUUGGCUAAUACCGCGUACGCCUCCGAGUCUUCGGGUUCGGAGGGAAAGCUGCACUGUGAGUGUAGCGCUCUUUGAUGAGCUCAUGUCCUAUCAGCUUGUUGGUAGGGUAACGGCCUACCAAGGCUUUGACGGGUAGCUGGUCUGAGAGGACGAUCAGCCACACUGGCACUGCGACACGGGCCAGACUCCUACGGGAGGCAGCAGUAAGGAAUAUUGCGCAAUGGGCGAAAGCCUGACGCAGCGACGCCGCGUGGGGGAGUGAAGGUCUUCGGAUUGUAAACCCCUUUCGGGUAGGGAAGAUGGAGCGAGCAAUCGUUCGGACGGUACCUCCAGAAGCAGCCACGGCCAACUUCGUGCCAGCAGC